rnacentral:sRNA from 1 species
AGACUUGGAAAUUUGUAGCCAAAUCAUGUGACUGUCAUGACUUGUAUGCGAAUAAAGUGGUGCAUCCAUGGAAAUUGGUUCGUUUGAUUUUAUUGAUUAUGGCAAUUGUGGGAUGGUUUGGUCAAGUGAAAUUCUCUUGGAUAUAUCGCCAUCAAACAUUUGACAUAUACAUCGAAGCUAUUCUGAUAUUUUUUCAAAUCGCCAUAUCAUUUUGUAAAUUUUGGCUUUUUACAUUUUCGAAGCCACGUCUUUAUAAAAUGCUUCA